CGCGCUUCAAUCAUAGCCCGGGUACAGCGGAUGUGAUCGCGGAACAUACUGUAACGUCACGAGUAUUAAAUGAACACAAUUAAGGCUGAGACAGGAACAUCUUCGAAGGCUACUGUAGCUGACCGCAAGCCUUAAAUAACAACGAAUCCCACUUAUUGCGCCGAUGUCUCUACCAGACCUACUCAGACGAGGUACAAAAGUGCUCAUCGAAUCGCACCGUGAUGGACGUGGUCUGCGACCGUUGAUAUCGCUACGACAUUUAUGACGAGCUCAUUAUUUCCAGUGCCCAGUUCAACUCUUACGGGCACUGAAGCUGGGCUGAACAUUCGAAUGCCACCGCUGGCACAUACUUGCAGGCGACGACCCGUACCCCAUCGAUGCAAUAGUAAAGUAAGGAUGGGAAUUUGAGGCGCGAGAUUAGCUGAUCUUUUGCUGUUGACGCAUCUGGACUAGCGAGAAAUCGUCUUUUACAGAAACUGCACCUGCAAGCAUUUGUCGUUUAGAGCUUUAGGUCGACCCUGCUGCAGUGUCCAGGUUUCUGAUCACCCUCCAUCGCGUGGCGCCCCGGCGAAAUAUACGCAGUUCCUGCCAUAUAAUAACAUAAACGCAUCAGUCAGGUAAACUACUACGUGACUACUUGCUGGAGAAAGGUGGUAGCCAUGUCUCUUGGCGUUAAUUUCCACUUGGAUGAGAUGUCAUGGCCUAAAUCGCUUUAUGAACUUAAUCAGUUUCACCCGACUGUCACAGCCUAUAAAAAUCCGCUCCAACCGAAAUCGGGAGACUGAACACAUUUCGAAACCUUUUCUCUGCAGCAACACAAACAGUUCUGCUUUGAGCUUUAACUUCCUUUUACGCUAAUAACAGCUUAUAAUGGCAUGAAACUUAGAUGAGUGUUCAUUAUAGUAAUGGAACUAGCUAGCUCAGCGAAAAAUUUAUCAGCGAUUCAACAUUAUAUAUAUUCAAAUUCUACUGGCUUGUGCAAUUUAAAUGAUUCACCAUAUAUGCGUUGAUAUAACAGGAAGUACAAGCCCUACUUGAACAUGAGUCGAUUGCUGUCCUUACCUACUAAUUGAAAUUUUACGAAAAUUCCAAUUAGACGUUUCAAGGAAAAUUUAGCUUGCCGUAUUUUGCGAAAUGAGUAUAUCAUUCAGACAGUAAACACUUCGGCUUUGAGUUGGACUAAAUAAACGUAUGUUUACUAUUAGCGUCUGUCCAAAGUUUCGUGUAGCGUUAUUUCGAAAUUCAGAUAGAUAGAAUAUGAUUCUGUUUCGAAAUUCAGAAACGUCUACUCGAUAAAUACAGUUAAUCCAAUUAAGCCUAUCCAUCCUGAAUAGAAAGCCGCUGUAUAUCAUGUAACGUUUUGCAGUGUUAAUAAUAAUAAGCUAGUUCUACCAGUGCAGAGCCAAUAGUAGGCUGAGGUAGUAUAUUUCGAUUCGGAGAUUUUCUGGGGCUUUUUAAAGUAUCUAUGCGAAGCUAUCUGUCCCAUAAAUGAAAUCGGGAGUUUUUAUAGACGGAGUCGUCCAGCGCGAAUGAAAAGUAACAAAAAUUGUAAUGUAACAUAUAGUGUAGCAAUGAAUAAUAAUGUCGCUGACGGAUACACGGGUACAGUUUAGCUUGUAUGAGUUGCCGUCAGCUCAUUCUAAGGAUUACUGCCAUUAUUUAUUUCGAAAACGUACUGAACGGUCUUAGUUAAACUGGUUUGUCUCAUAUGAGUUACAUUUUGCAGAAUUUGUUUGAUAUCCAAUUAACCGUGUGCUGGCUAAUCGCAGAAAGAACGACUAGAAACUAUUUGAUCUAUUUUCUGACGGGCCUUCUGUAAUGUCAGGCCGAUAAAUUAACAUAUGUAUAUAUAAAUUAACCAGUUAUCACAACGAUGGCAAAACGAUCUCAAAAGCCAACAUCCCAAGGGAUUGUACAGUGAUUCGGGAAACAAUGUUUAUUUCAAGCUUUCCAGAGAACUUUGUGCAGUGUACUUAUACACUGUGGAAAUAUCGCAAUUGUUUUCCCAGUUUUCAGGUAUGACUACAGAUAAAUUAUUACAUGGAGUAAAAAGGCAAACUUAAAUAACUUAAAUGAUUGUAACAUGAACGAGAGUGGCUCGAGAAUCUCCUUGGCUUGAAGCAUGUCUUCAUUUCUCUCUAGCGGCGUUACCUUUUAAUCACAGUUAAUUAAACCCGAUCUAGACAAAUUGUCUCUGCGAACUAUGUGUGUUAUUCCCCUAAUAUGCCGCUUGUUGUCACUAGACGAAUUUUAAUAUUUUUAAUUGUGGAGAAAAUUUAUAUGCGGGACCUACUUCGCCAAAUGAGCCACUUUGCGUCAGAAAAUCGGUUCUAUUCGAACGCAUUAAAAGUGUCCACAGCGCGUAAACGCUAUUCAGAUAUCGGCCGCAUUUUUUCUCACUUUCUGCUAUCUUCCCAUCUUGGGCUUCUGCAGGUGCUUCAACCCCAGCACGCCUGCUGUCCGUUCGUUCAUCCACUUGAACCGCUGUUCACCCCGUUAGGCAUCGGUCCGUUGCGAUGCUUAAUUCGACAGCGUCUGACACCUUAAUAAUCUGUUUUUCUUUGUAGACUUCACCUUCAUUCAAGAACUUAGGUGAUGUGUUCCAACCAUGUAAGCAUAACUUUAUAACAAAACUAAUCGGCGAGAUGAAUCUGCAAUCGGUUCUUAACACAGUUUGCUGCUGGUGUGGAUAACGCUUUGACCGGAUCAAGCAGUGUCCGUUUGUGUUCGAAUCACAGCUGACAGAACAUAGAGCUAUUCUACGAAAUACGCACACCGGACACGCGUUUGCGUUUACUUAGAUAUUCAUGCAAAUUUAUUAUAUUUUAGAUACGUCGGUAUUUAGGCUGAAACAUUGAAUUUAGGAAAAACGCACGAAGCAAGAACGACUCAUAAUGGUGUUGUGGUAAAAUCUGAUAGUGAUAAUUGAAAUUGGACAGCUGUGCAAAGUAAAUAUGUUUCUAGAAUAAUUGCAGCGGGAGAUGUGAAGGACUUGAUAAAGGAUACGAGUAUUAUCGCUGAAAUUGAUCCAGUUGGUAAGAUCAUUUGCUCUGAUAGCGCUACCUUCCCGAAUGUUGAGAAGCAUGGGCGCUCUCUUUUUGAUAAGUACCAGCGGAACACAGCUAACUAAGCUGUUGCUACAAGUUCGAUAAUAACUUCACGGGUAGAAAAGUUCGUUCGAAGACGGGGUUUGCGGUGGGUGAGGGCUUUUUUGUCCUAAUAUGAUAAGGCUUAGAACAUUCGCAGCUUUUGUUGAAGAAUUUUUUUCUGUAAAAUGACAUGAUAUAUAGUUGCGUUAUCGAUUCCGCUUCUGUAAGUUUAAAAGAAUUUUUUUUUAAACAUCUUCAGCUGUUACAUCUACGUGUAACCUCCAUUUUGUAACACUUAGAUCCCUAUCUAUAUAGAAUCCCUAAAAAAAGUGAUCUGAAUUAGACCCUUUUCUCGAUCUUUAUGACCGAUUCGUAGGAUCUGGAACCUUGCAAACCUGGGAACCUUUGUAACUGAACAAACUAGUCCGAAGUGUUUAAUAUUUGCGUUUAAUGUCAAGGAGUUUGCUGGAGUCUAUCACUGAUUGGGAUAGAAUAAAGGCAUUAAAACACCAUAACUCAAAGGGCUUUAAGUCAAAAAUGAUACUUUAAAUACGCCUAAUAGACACAACGUAGCUGAUCUCUUCGUCUAUAAAUGAUAUUCUCAAAAAAGCAUACUUAGAAAUAAUCAUGUGCGGAAGACAGACGUUUGAAUAAGCAAUCUAAAUCAACCUUCAUUAGUGUAACCUCUAAAUCCCAACCUCUGUCGACUAGCGACAAAAUACAUGUGACCACUAUUUUUUUUUUAUUAAUUAGGUAUUUGAGAAAUAUUUGACAAUUUUUGAAUAGUUUAAUAAUCCAAACAAGAAAAAAUUAUAAUUAUUGAUAAUAAUGAGAUGGCCUCUUCGAACAUUGACAGGUAUUAUUUUUAAGAAAAGACGUUUUAUCUUACCGAAGCUUUAUAGAAUUGUUACCGGUUCGUUCCGCCAAUAUGAUGCUGUUAAUUUUAUUAAAUAAUUUCUCUUUCUUCUAAGUGGUUGAACCUCUGCGACGAAGAUUUUUUUGCAGUGGCACACAUUCGAGUGAGUUCUGACCCUGUAAACUAUCUGCUUAUUGACUGUACCUAGGCUAACCGUUGCCGUCCAUUGCGGUGAAUGGGCAAAAACUCAGCCAACGAGGUAAUGACAGGACCUGCCGUGUCGUAUUUUGUAUAUUCGAUCAUCUUAUGUUCAUGUUCAAUUCAUUCUAAACAACAAUUAGACGUUUAUCAUGGAUUGCACUAACUAGGAGUGGUAGGAAAUGCGGGUAAUUUGUCGUGGGAGCAGCCAUCAUUACAUUUGGCUAUUCCAACGUACUUUUACUCAAGGCUUGACGUAGUAGUCCUUAACGAUAAUCGUUGUAUACAAAUUUGAUAGAGCACGGUUCAAUUUAGUGAAAACAAUAAUCUUUGAGGAGAAGAUCGUUACGGGCCAGACGAUCGAAUCAUCCGAUCAUAUGUUAGAAUUGGUGUAAAUUAUGAGUCUGCUAUUCAGACAUAAUUUAAGAUUAUGGGUUGAAUAAUAAAUUGACAAAAGUCCUUAUCAAUACCAGACUACCUUUAUUUAUCAUACUGUUUCCCAGCUACUCAACAGGAACGGAAAGCUUCAUUCUCAUCCAAUUUGUCCUUUCUGCAGGCACUUUACUGUCGUAUUCGUUUACUGCACCGAAAAAGAUGUAGAUGAAUAGCCCUCAUCACAAAUGUUUUUUUAUUUGUUAUCUAAGUUUAUUCGCCGUACAAACAGCAAGAAAUACGACUAAAACAGCAGUGAACCCGAACCAAUGAAAAGUAAAGUCUUCGGCGUAUUUCUACCGGCAUUUCGCAUACACAUUAUUUAUUUUUAAAAAAUACCCACGGUGCUAUCGGCUGCUUGUGGAGCCUGACGCUGCCUCUCAGUCUCGAUAACCAGGGGUACGUGUCGAUAGAGAAUUGAGACAUCACCGCCUUUGGUCUGGUGCAGUGUAUUCUAGAGGGCUAUAUUUCUCGUGCGCCCGACACGGUGCAUAAUGAUUAACGGCAAGCGAUGCAAUUGUGCUUUAGUUUUCUAUGGAAUUAUACUGAUUCACCAUGGGCGGCAGCGGCUUCAGCGUCAGGUCAUAUCAUGCCCGCAUACAAAAAGACCACGUUGUAUAACUGCAACAGCUUGCCAGACCCGGAUCAACGUACGGGUCUGUACACCAGCAGUCUCGGUGGCGCGCGUAGUAAAUGUUGUACCAUGCAUCAUUCCGUCACGACAGUGGCAAGAAGAAGCAGUCAGGUGGAGAUGAAAGUGUCAAGCUAAACAGUGGAUAGCCGACAACUAAUAACGAAGCGAAACACGGCCAUCCGUCGACCGCUGCAGCGACUAACCAUUUAGCAUCGUUAAGUCCUGCGAUGAAUAACCCAUAAACCAGGACCAGUGACAA
rnacentral:lncRNA from 11 species